CCUGCCCUGGAGGCAUUGCCUGCUAUGGCACAUGUUUGUCAGUAGGUGGCAGACAAGAGAGAAAUUAUGUCUAUACAUAAUUAUGUCUUGACCACCAAACAUUUGAAUGAUUAGUAGUCUAACAUU